AGAUCCACAGCCGGUGAAACAAAAUGCCCUCCUUGAUAAAGCAAAGUUGUGUAUAUCUAAAAAAUUCACACUUCAGGCUUCUUUGGGUCCCAGGAAAACCUCGACAGCUUCAAAAUAGUGGCCAGAGGACCAUACCAAGAGUAUUUCCCCACGGAGGAUCCCAAAGAAUAUAAAGGCAAUACUGUUAAGUAGCCUUUACGUAAAGGGCAGUGGCUCCAAAAGUAUAAAUAAAUAAAAAAAUUGACCAACCCCUUGACUCUGUUGAAGCUGUGGUGCAGAUGCCGCCACAGAUUAAAAUCAGUUUUACAUACGAUGUUUCCAAAAUACUUCCAAAGUUAAAUGUAUUAAAUCUAUUUAUAGACACCUUCGUUUUAACAGGCAUUUUCGCAGAAAAACAGCCUGGAGCUAUAAAUACAGUUUUCCAAAAGGCUAUCCAUUGACUAAGCGACCGUAGAAACCCAGAAAACCUUAAAGUCAGUAACAGCGGAGGCUCCACUGACCAUAACCAUCGACCAGCUCCCACCAUUCGAGACAGGACUUAUACAAGGACGUUUCAAAAAUCCGAUUUCAAAAUAAAAUCCAAGUUAGGCCUAAUUUUUUUAAAACAUUUAGGGAUUGACCAAGUGACCAUUAAAGUAAAUGACAUUUGCAUCGCGAAUAACAAAGGCAAAGGGGUGAUCAGCUUUGAAGUCCAUUCUUUUGAAGCCGCUUAGUGGCACGUGUAUAUCACGUGCAUCAUCUAUAGUAAAUUUAAUUAUAUUAAACACAGUAAUGUAAUCAAUGAAGCACAAGUACCUUUA